rnacentral:rRNA from 1 species
AGCGACUAGCGUGAAUCAUCGAAUCUUUGAACGCAAAUUGCGCUUUUGGGCAUUCCUAAAAGCAUAUUUAUUUCAGUAUCAUUUCUAUUUAUUUCUUUCUAUUUUAUUAUUAUUAUUAUUAUAGUAAAGAGAUGUAUUGAAUGUAUUCAUCCUUAACUUCUUUGAAGUAUAAAGGAACAUUUAAAAUGAAUUUAUAAUUAUAUUUUAAAUCAAUAUCAAAGAUGUGUUAAUCUAAUUACCAUUUUUCAUAUAACAACAUAUAUUUUGAUCUGAAAUUAAAUAAGAUUACCCGCUGAACUUAAGCAUAUCAAUAAGCGGAGG